CAUCGACACCAGCAACACAAGACAUGUGAGAAGAGCUUCUUACGAUCAGCCGAGUAUCGAAGUUCUUUUUUUUGGCUUUUUUCGUUGGUGAAUUUAUACUGUUUUUGGUAGUCGCGAAACUUUUCCUCAUUUUUCAUAGCGCCCAUCAGCAACCUCUCUUCGAAAGUAGUUUCUGCGUCGUCGUUCGGGAUCCACGCACAGCGCGCGUCUUGUUAGUUUUAUUUGUACAGCCGGGACCGAGCGGGCACAACCUUCACGUGGAAGGACACCAAUCAGCUGGAGCCGAACGGAGCUGCUAUUUAACGGCUCUCCAUCUCGGGCUGACUUCAUCGCCCGUCAUGCGGUCGUUGGUUUAGUGCCCUUUAUAUCUCAUUAGGUUUACCAUCAUCAUAAGUCCAGUUUGAGUUCCGCGCUGAUUUAGCGAGACAGGCAAAAGUUAGUUUAUACCACUGCAUUCGCAAACAAAACCAAGAAAUAUUAAAAAUAAAAAAAAAACAAUCCUCCCAAACCACAAAUCAAGCAUAUAAAGCGCCAUCUCGAAUUACUCACCCCAAAUCAACUUAAAACCAAACACCAUUCACCACUACCACCCAUAAAACGGCGACUGUCGCUGUCCUCCAAUCGCUAUGGCCGAAGAUUUGGCUGACCAAAUUGACGAUUAUAUCUGUGUUUUUGAAGGAGCCGGUGAUCUAACGAUGGACACGUUCGUCAUGUUACUGUUCGCGUUAAUCGUAGUUGUAAUAGCGCUAGUUUUCCUCUCGAAGCUGCUGUACGAAAAGUAUGUGAAAAAGGGCUCCCUAACGUUGGAAGGUGCCGCUGCGACAUCCGGGUUAGUGACCGGAACGACGGUCCUGCUGCCAGGCGUUGCCGGUGCCGCUGCUGUCGGCUCCCGACUGUCGGAGCCGAAGGAGGUGCAAGCAUCGAAAAAGGACUCCCUUCUUGCAGCAAGGAAUGGCAGCUUGGGUGGUGGCGCCCGAGUUGGUGGUGGCACUGGUGGCGGCGGAGGCAUGGCCUUUGGUCAGAAAUCUGGGGUCGGUGGUGCUACUAUUGCUCGGAAGCGUAUCUCCCGCAAGAGUCCCGGUCCAGAGCUGACGCAGAAAAAGCGAACGGUAUUUCCACCUUCGAACAUCAAUGGAUCGGAUAUGCAAGCAGUUCAAUGGGCUAUCCACAUGUUCCGAUGGCUUUACUCUGAUUUGGUCGUUGUGAAUAAGUUGCUGCAGGACUGGGUUGGGACUGUCAAUACCGCCCUGUUAUCAUAUGUAGAGCAGCACGAGAUGAUAGUCGAAGUGGUUCGAAUUCUACCGGAGAGUCUACCGCCGAACAUGUCCAGCAUUCUAUGCGAACCAGCCGAGCAGCAGAACGAGGUAGAGCUUCUAUUUGACAUCGAAACCACCCCAGUCCUGCAGAUCAAAGCGUUCAAAUCGACCAAUCAGAAGACGGACGUCUCUCACUACAAGGCGACCGUUGUUCGAUUGAAGACCCGAGUAAGUGUGAUCAUUAACUACUUCGCACUUAAGGGUGAAAUGAAGGUGGAAGGUUUUCCCGAUAUUAAAAUCCACCUCAAUAGUAUCGGUCCAUUGAAAACUGCAAAUGCGCAGGAUGAAAAGAAACAAAGCGACCUCAUCGUUGAACUGCUGGCGUCGUCCAUUCGCGAUGUCGUAUAUCCGAUCGAUUUCUCCGUCUACUCGACCUGUCCACGAUUGAUGGGCGAGGAACCGGAGGAAAUGAUGCCAUUGGAUUACUCAGGUUAUGGGCAAUUCACCGACAAUUACCGUUCGUACCAAGAUGAUGCGUUCAGCUCUAGUUUAAAUACUUCACCAAAGAAACUUCUAGUCAAAGUUGUCAAAGCAGAGGGACUCUUGCAGUGUGCCCAGCCGUUCUGUGUUGUUGAAAUGGAUGAACCAGCUCAAAAACACCAAACCGCCAGUAAAAUGGGAUCAAAUCCAAUGUGGGAUGAUACCUUCCUCUUUGACUUGUCAAACCAUUCUACCGAACUCCUAUUCGAAGUGUAUGACUCUGUAGCAGUAGCCCCUGGAGGAUUCCAGAGAUUUUUGGGUUUGGGUCUAGUUGGAAUCGAUGAGCUAGCAAACGGCCCAGCUUUGAUACAGGUUCUGGAAUUACAACCCAGACCAUACGAGACGGAAAACAUCACCGGUACACUGACGGUUGAGUUUGUGUUCAUCGACGCUCCGCCAGCACCGGCUCCUCGACGACAGUACACACAGCAAUCGUUCCGGACCAAUGGAGAAUCGAACUUCGCUAGGGACGGCACCACUCUUCUGGCGUCCAGUGCUCCAGCCAGUACCUAUCCCCACGCGGCCACUCUACCCAGCACCGGUAAGCAAUUAGCAUCUGCACCUACCUCACCAGCGAAAAAAUCUGUAGGCCUCGCCAGUAGUGUCAGCUUCGCCGAUCGCCACCAGCGCUUCCAAGCAGCCAACACCAACCGAUUGAACAACUCCUUCCUCAAGCCCCCAUCGUCAUCCGACUCUGGUUUGAAUGGCACUAAGUUACACUCCGAUUCCAUCCCGGUUUCGCCGGCGCUCUCAUCCGUCUCGCAAACCUACAGCGGUAGUUUUAGUACCGGUGCCCCGGAAAAUGUCACCAAGUCACGGAACAUAUUCGGUACCCUGAGAAAUAAACUGUCGCUUUCAAAGAAGUCUAAAUCGGUGGAUAAUACGCAGUACAGUCCCACGCAUCCCGGCCAGAUCCACAGUGCUUCAUCGACGCUCAGUCGCGGGUCUUCGAUGGAUCAGCGAUCCAACCUCUUCCCGAACAUCAAGAAUCUCUCUCGAAAAUCAUCUAUUUCGGAAUCAUCUGCCAUAUCCGGCCUGUCUAACUCUAGCGUCCGAACUUAUCUACAUGAAGAGUCAACACUGUUGCUAGAAACGCUGGAGAAUAAUAUCCUGCGACACUAUCUGGUGCCGAUCGAAGUUGCCCUCCGGCAGAAGACGUGGAAACGCAAAGGAACCAAGCUGCACGUGUACAACGAUCAUACUUUCAUCGCGAAGCAUAUUGGAGGCGCUGUCCUCUGCCACGUGUGCAACCGUAGCAUCGCACGCCGUCCCGGUAAACAGGGCUACGAGUGCCGUGAUUGCCUUAUCCAGUGCCACAAACCGUGCCACGUGCGAACACCGCAGGCCUGUCCGAAUCCGAAGAUCCUUUCGGUGCAACUAACGUCAUUGCCCCUACUGAAAGAAUAAAGCGCAAUGGUUUCAUUUAAUCUAAGUAGAAUUAGCUUUCAAGUGCUUUAUUGAUGAAAUCCUAUUUCCCCAAGUUGAAGUGGCCGUUCAUAUAAGUGGACAGUUCAGUGCAGUUUCACAUGAGCAUUUACGUGAAAACAAAACAACAAGCAAAAAACAACGCUUCAGGUAUAUUUGUUACCACAAGAGAAACAGAAACCGUGACAUAUUUACCAGUGGACGGAGUUCUUUGAACUAGCUAUACGAAUCGAAUACUAUUUUGCCGCUAAGCUAAUACCGACUACAAAAAAAAACUGAAUUUUGAUGAGAUUUUCCCUUGUAUUUUAAUAAAUACACUAUUAUAACUAAUAAUAUUGAUCCGCCAAACAUGUAAAUAAAACUAAAAUGGAAAGGGAUACGACCUGAAAGCUUUAAACAAUCUUAAUAGUUUCCUGUCUAAUAUCAGCGAUACAUAAAAUUACAAUCUCUGGUGAACUAGGUUGUGAGACCAAUCCAAACUGUUGCGUAGACGAAACAAUCUUGCACCAAUAUGCGUCUCGUAAUACAUAAAUAAAUAUUUAAAAAGCUUUAGCUGUGUAACUCUGCUCUUCUAUUAUCCUAAUUAAAAUUCUAACACUGAUCAAACGUAGCAGGUUAUUUUGGUCCACUAAACAGCAAAAGUAAUUUAUUUUAUUGAAGAGGGAAUAAAAUCGAAUUUUCGACGUCGUGAGGUUAAAUUGUUACAAAAAA